GCAGCAAAGACAAGAAGGACUGGCUAUAGACAAAAGAGAAACUUUCUUGCCAAGCUUCACUGAAAUCACAGUUUCAAGAGUUAUGAUUUUCAUUUUGUGUUUUGUGGUGGCCUUUUAUUUCAUUUUAAAGAAGAUUGGGGAAAAAAGGCAGAAGAGGAAAGCCCAAAAACAGAAGAAAAACAUUUAAACAACGGAGGGAAAAUACUGGCAUCCCUGGAGCUCAUCCCUUCAAAGUGUCUUUCCUAGAAGUCCUGUAUUUCUACCACAACAGAUCUCUGGAAGAAAUUACAACAUUAUGACUCAUGAACCCAAAGAGGACGAUCCUUCUAUCUGCCCGUCUUUUAACUGGGAUGGCUUCCUGCGAACAGCUAAACCUGAAGCAAACUAUGGGGACAAGUACUCUUUGGCAAUGCACAUGAAGCCACUUUUUAGUUUGUCCACCCCAGGAGGUCCAAAAUCAAGCUAUAUUCAAAGGGAGAGACAACAAAUUGGAGAUUCAAGUUCUGAGGAGCCAGAAGUCCCUUAUAGGAUAGGACGCAUGUAGAUGAA